UGGAUCACCUCCUAACAGGGAGACAACAAAAUGUAAAUAUUAAUUUUGUCACCUUAGGUCGAUCGGUAUCUCAGAUUCUUAUUUUUUAAGAAUUUCAGUUUCUAAGUUUUUUCUAGGUCACACCCAUCACUUUUUCCUGGGCCAUUAGCUCAGGUGGUUAGAGCGCACCCCUGAUAAGGGUGAGGUCCCUGGUUCAAGUCCAGGAUGGCCCAUAUCUCUAUGUUGGGGGUAUAGCUCAGUUGGUAGAGCGCCUGCUUUGCAAGCAGGAUGUCAGCGGUUCGAGUCCGCUUACCUCCACUGAAUACCACCUCUUACAUAUUUAAAGAGGGAAAUUGUUUUGAGUCGUGUCCUAAUUUGCUCUGAGCGAAUCUAGCUUCCUAUUUUAUUCAAAAAUAAGAUGCUGGACUCAUUGAAUUUUUUUCAUUGUUUUCAGAGAACCUUGACAACUGCAUAGAUUAUUUUUGAAGACAAUAAGCAUCUUUUAAUGAUGCAGAUUUAUUAUUUGUGCGAAUGCAUUAAAUAACAAUUCUAUUGAGCUGAUGCUUCAAUUAUUGAAGUUAUUGGUCAAACUAUAAAGGGCUCACGGAGGAUACCUAGGCACACAGAGGCGAUGAAGG
rnacentral:tRNA from 1 species